AACACUGCGGCUCGGACAGGACCGCCUUUAUCAGCACAGUGGAGGGCCUGAGCUGCAUGGAAACAGUGUGGGGGCUCUCGGGGUCACAGCAGUGCUGGUUUGGCCUUCCCCUGACCGGUCCAGGGCGGCCUCCACACCAACCACACGCGGCCGGGCCUCACCGCCGCUGACUACAACCCUGGGCCCGGAGCGCUGAGGCGCGGGGUAGCCCGUCCCGAGUGCGCGUGCGCGGAGGACGCUCCAGUGUGAUUGGGCAGCUGACAUCCACGGUAGCCAAUCGGGGAGGAGCAGUCGAAAAGGACACCCCUGGAAGUGUACUCCCUCUGGGACUGCCCAAGAACACUGCUAAUCCCAACAUGGGACUUGAACCUUUCCUGGAGCCACAGGACUUUUCUGGUCUCUUCAGACAAGCCUACCACAUUUUGCAGUUCUUCAAUCAAAGAGAGGAAAAUGCAGGAAAGAAGCUGCUGCCCUGAAUCAUUUUGAUUACCCUAGGCAAGAGCCAAAGUAAUGGAAGCGCAGGCUGACACAAAGGGAAGGAGGUGACAUGAGAACAAUCUCCCCAUAACAACUAUCUCCCACAACUGCGUGAUCCAUAAUGGCAGUAAUAGAGAAAGCAAGCCGUGGUAAAGGUGCAUUGCCUCGUCUCUGUGAGAUCAAACAAUGCGUAGGUUGAUGGAGGAGACGCUUUCAUAUCUCCUGAAAAGUCCAUAUUUCUCAAUAUUGCUGAACUACCAAGACUCUUCCUAAGGUGCAAAAAUUUCUCUGUGGAGGAUCUUCAUAAAGAGAAUUGAUGGCAAUAUAAAUACAGUUUUCUUAAAUCAUCAACUAUCUUUAAUUAAAAG